rnacentral:lncRNA from 1 species
CCUUAAUAAAGCUUUCCUCUCUCCCUGUAAUUUCUAGAUGGAAAAGGGAGAUUCAGAAUCAUUACAUUUUAAUUAUAGUAAUAUGUUUUGUGGUUUCCAAAUUUUAGUUUUCAAGUUAUGGCCAGUUUCUACAGUUAUGGGAUGUUUUAUAUUGAGAUGAUUAUAAGGUAACUUACUUAAAAGGCAAAAAGAAAUGCCAAGGUAAGUCUGCAAACAUUUACUUCAACAUUUAAAGUCUGUUAACGGCUCAAUUCAAGUAACGUGUUGUUGCAUGAUUACGGAAAGCUAGGUUUCUUUUAACUAGUUAGAAUACUGUUGAAUAAUAUAAAAACAAUGGCUUUUAUGUUUAUUUUUCUCUGAGGCUUAUAGUUUUAGUAAUCACAUUAGUAUUACAUUCCAGAAUUCCAGAGGAAUGACAUAAAAACUGGCAUGGAGAUUAUGAAAAAUUACCAGAAAAUGAAAAGGAAAAAGAGCAAAAGAGAGAGGUGGGGAGAGGAAAAGAGAACAGAAGGAAAGAAAAGGGAAAACAGUUUGGAUCAGUGGUUGGAUUCCUUACUUAUUAGCUCAUUGACUCUUUCAAAACAUUAACAUGCUAGUGAUAAGCCUUUGGCAAAUAAGUUAACCUCUUAGCCCAAGUUCUGAAGAAAAAUAUUUUUUAAAUAAUCA